GGUAUUACGCCGGAAGAACGGAUUACAUUGAUGUUGUAAAUUAAAAGAUUAAUAAUCUUUAAUGCCU